rnacentral:rRNA from 1 species
CCUACGGGUGGCAGCAGUGGGGGAUAUUGCACAAUGGGGGGAACACUGAUGCAGCGAAGCCGCGUGGGUGAAGAAGCGCCUCGGCGCGUAAAGCCCUGUCAGCAGGGAAGAAAAUGACGGUACCUGUAGAAGAAGCCCCGGCUAACUACGUGCCAGCAGCCGCGGCUAUAUGGAGGGGGCAAGCGUUAUCCGGAUUUACUGGGGGUAAAGGGGGCGUAGACGGGGAGGCAAGCCAGGAGUGAAAGCCCGGGGCCCAACCCCGGGACGGCGCUUGGAACUGCGUGGCUGGAGUGCAGGAGGGGCAGGCGGAAUGCCUGGUGUAGCGGUGAAAUGCGUAGAUAUCAGGAGGAACACCGGUGGCGAAGGCGGCCUGCUGGACUGCAACUGACGUUGAGGCCCGAAAGCGUGGGGAGCAAACAGGAUUAGAUACCCUUGUAGUC